GUGUCAGCCGCCGCGGUAAGACGGAGGAGGCAAGCGUUGUCCGGAAUCAUUGGGCGUAAAGAGCGCGUAGGCGGUUUUUCAAGUCGUAUGUGAAAACUUCAGGCUUAACCUGAUGAUUGCAUAUGAAACUGGAUAACUUGAGUACAGCAGAGGAAAGUGGAAUUCCUGGUGUAGCGGUGAAAUGUGCAGAUAUCAGGAAGAACACCAGUAGCGAAGGCGGCUUUCUGGGCUGUUACUGACGCUGAGGCGCGAAAGCUAGGGGAGCGAACAGGAUUAGAUACCCUGGUAGUCCUAGCCGUAAACGAUGGACACUAGGCGUGGGAAGUUAUCGACGCUUUCUGUGCCGAAGCUAACGCAUUAAGUGUCCCGCCUGGGGAGUACGGCCGCAAGGCUAAAACUUAAAUGAAUUGACGGGG
rnacentral:rRNA from 1 species